GGAGAGAUGCCAGAGCGGUCGAAUGGGGCGGUCUCGAAAACCGUUGCACGAGUGAUCGUGCCGGGGGUUCGAAUCCCCCUCUCUCCGCCA
rnacentral:tRNA from 1 species